AACGCACAUUGCGCCCUUUGGCAUUCCGAAGGGCAUGCCUGUUCGAGCGUCAUUAUCAAUCCUCAAGCCUGGCUUGUUAUUGGAUCGUGCGUCGCGGGUGGCCCCCGCGGUGGCAGUUCCGAAAGGCAACGGCGGCGUCGUGGGAGACCCCGGAUACAACGAGCUCUACUGCAGCACGUAUCGAGGAGGUCCAACGGCCCGGCACCUUUUUAACUCCCAAGAUUGACCUCGGAUCAGGUAGGAAUACCCGCUGAACUUAA
rnacentral:misc_RNA from 1 species